UAAGGCCUACUCUCCUCCCACCUUGUAUCUCAGCCAGCAGAACAUCACUGAGACGUGCCUGGCCUAAGGCAUCCUCUCAACAGCACCACAAAGGCACGUUGGAAGUUUCUUGCCAGAAUUGAUCGGAUAGAGCGUCUUGUAGGGUAAGAGUGUAGAU